rnacentral:rRNA from 1 species
CAGUAGCCGCGGUAAUACGAAGGGGGCUAGCGUUGUUCGGAUUUACUGGGCGUAAAGGGUGCGAAGGCGGAUUGUUAAGUCAGGGGUGAAAUCCCAAGGCUCAACCUUGGAACUGCCUUUGAUACUGGAAGUCUUGAGUAUGGUAGAGGUGAGUGGAAUUCCGAGUGUAGAGGUGAAAUUCGUAGAUAUUCGGAGGAACACCAGUGGCGAAGGCGGCUCACUGGACCAUUACUGACGCUGAGGUGCGAAAGCGUGGGGAGCAAACAGGAUUAGAUACCCCAGUAGUCCCUGUCUCUUAUAC